CUUAAUAAAAAAAUACAAUUUCAAUAAUUAGAAAUUAUAAUUAAAAUCAUAUCAAAAUUGGAUUCAAAAAUGCAUAAUUAACAACAACUAAGAACAGCAGCAUCUAACAACAACAACAAAAUUGGAUUCAAAAUCAGUUUCAACAACUAACAACGUCAACAAAAUUGUAAACAAAAUCCCAAAUCCCAAUUUAGAGGAAUCCUAACAUCGGGAUUCUAACUUUUGUUGAACGAUCAAACUUCUCUGUUAGAUGGAGGAUUGAAAAGCGAUUUGGAGAAAAAAUCUGCAGAAAACACGAUUGAGAGAAGGAAAACACAAUUUUCUAUGUAUAUGAGUCGCGUGAUUCAGAGGCGAGUGAAGGCAAAACACGAGAUUCAAAGUAUCAAAGGGAGAAGGUCUCGCUCAUAGUCGACUUCGGUGGCUGGUGGUGGUGCUUGGUAGAUUGUCGACGUCUUCACGUUGAUGAUGGAUAUGGAUAGGAGAUCAGAGAAAGUGGGUUUAGAGAAAAGAUAUAGACAAGUGUAUAGUAGAAUUAUGAC
rnacentral:lncRNA from 1 species